CUGGUUGGAAGCUUGAGAAGCAGGUCUUUGUGCCUUUUUGAGCUGAACUUGCACUCUUGGAAGCUGGUUUGGAAGCUGCUCUAACCAAGGCAAGAUCGCGAUCGAGCCUUGGAUCGUCUUCGACUGACUUGUGAGGACUCUUGGAGGUUACACUUGAGGAUUGGAGCCUUGUGGAGCUGAUCCUUGGGACUCCUUUGGACUGUUUGGAGCCUUGAACUAGGUGGGUCGGACCUAACCAGAGCAAGUGAAGCUCCUCUAUGUUCUAUAUGUAUUAUAGAAAUGUGUUAGUUGUGUGCUUAUGUGAUAGCUAAAGGGCUUGAGAAUUCGUCAUCAUAACAUUUACUAUAUUGACAUAGAAUCUCUAUGAAGUAGAGAAUCCUCACGCCUAAAUGUAUUCAUAUUCCUAU